CCCUGAUAUCAGAUUAAAUAUUUAGAAGUUUUAAUUUAAACACAGCUUCUACACUAUUUACCACAAUACAUCAGUAUUAUCAGUGAAGAAAAGCUAUUUUACUUCUAGAGCUGGAGUAAAUCCACAGUUUGGAUUCACAGUAACACAGAAUGGCCAGGGUUGAGAAGAUCUCUUCAGCCCACCUGGUUAAACUCCCUGCCCUGAACAGGACAUAAAAGCACACUGAGGAGUCUGGACAAAAGCCCUGAUUUGUGGGCAGUACACCUAUCAAAGGUACACCUAGACCAGACUGACUGAGGCCUUACCUCACUAACGGCUCCCUAGGUUAGCAGCAUUUGGAAGGGAAAAAAUGAAGAAGAGUAAGUAGCUGUAUCAAAUAAUGAGGGGAGGAGAAGUCAGCAAAUUAUUAUCCAGCCAGAAUAGAACACUGCAAGUGGUAGUUUCUAUACAUGGAAAUCCAUCUGUACACUCUGGAGAAUGCUCAAAGCAUAUAUGAGAUACUGCUUUAUGGAUUAAGUCUACCUCUAUUUAUUUGGUAAUUUAUGCCUUCACUACAGAGGCAUAGGAACAAUUAAAGACAAAUAUUUACAUAUUUGGUAAGCAGUUAUUGAAAUAUCUGAACCAGGUUUACUUUGGCAUUCCAGGAGAACACAGCAUGUGCAGAGCAGGCCAAGUACCUGUGGUAAGGGACAAAUUUUAGGCACCCAUAUUUGCAGAAUUUCAUCUAGAGAUUCUAUUUGUGAAGUAGAAAACACUCCUAGAUAUGCAGCCCAAAGACAGAUAACAAGAACUUCCAGUAGAUUUUCUGCCCUGUGUUUUUCUGAUGGAUCCAGUGAUCCACAAGCAGUGAAUGCCUGGGUGAGAGAUCUGCCUCAGAACGGGGAAGCAGCAAUAUAUCUGCUCCCCAUGGCAAAAAGGAACCUGAUUUCCAGUUACCUAAAAGUACCUUUUAACUCUGGCCUUGCCAAAAUUCUGAGAAGAAUUUCUUUUCAGAAACCGCGGUUAGGCAGUGAAAUGGGCUGCCCAGGGGGCUGGGGGAGUCACCGUCCCUGGAGGUGUUUAAGGAAAGAGUGGACGUGGCACUCAGUGCCAUGGUCCGGCUGACGUGGUGGGGUCGGGCUGGGCUCGAUGGUAUCAGAGUUCUUUUCCAGCCUCAUUGAUUCUGUGCUCAGGUU
rnacentral:lncRNA from 1 species